GCAACCCCUGCUGCCAGUUGCCAACGGGUGAAGCCGGGCACUCUGGCGGGACUGCCAUCGACAAGAUGGAGGAAGGUGGGGAUGACGUCAAGUCAUCAUGGCCCUUAUGUCCAGGGCGACACACGUGCUACAAUGGCCGGCACAGCGGGAAGCGAGGCAGUGAUGCCAAGCGGAUCCCUUGAAAGCCGGUCCCAGUUCGGAUUGCAGUCUGCAACUCGACUGCAUGAAGUUGGAAUCGCUAGUAAUCGCGGAUCAGCCAAGCCGCGGUGAAUACGUUCCCGGGCCUU
rnacentral:rRNA from 1 species